AUUGAACGCUGGCGGCAGGCUUAACACAUGCAAGUCGAGCGAGCGGCGGACGGGUGAGGAAUGUCUGGGAAACUGCCUGAAGGAGGGGGAUAACUACGGGAAACGGUAGCUAAUACAGAAUACAAUCAGAUGUGACCAGAUGGGAUUAGAUAGUAGGGGGGGUAAUGUCUCACCUAGGGGACGAGCCCUAGCUGGUCGGAGAGGAUGACCCGCAACACGUGAACGUGGACACGGUCCAUAAUCCUACGUGAGGCAGCAGUGGAGCAUAUUGCACAAUGGGCGCAAGCCUGAUGCAGCCAUGCCGCGUGUGUGAAUACGUCCUGCGGGUUGUAGAGCACUUUCAUCGAGGAGGCGUUACUCGCAGAAGAAGCACCGGCUAACUCCGUGCCAGCCGCCGCGGUAAUAC
rnacentral:rRNA from 1 species